UCUCAUCAUCAAGAGCUGGGCUUAUGCCCACACCAACCUGCGAACUCGGCAAGGUGGUUUCCAUGAAGGGAUGUGGCCUGUGGGCAAAAACGAGCAAAUCC
rfam:Donghicola sp. JL3646 contig12, whole genome shotgun sequence.